CCCGAGGAUAAGUGGACCUGUGCAAUCCAAAUCCAUGUUGUUUAGGAUCAACUAUACAACAAGACACAGCUUCCAGGAAAGUCUGUGCCAGACAGAGAGCCCACUGCUCUGGCCUGAGUCAUGGCAACCGAGGCUCUGCUGCCCAUCCUGCUUGUCUGUGUUGUGCUGCUGCAGGCCCAGGGAGGAUUACAUAAAAAUAACAAAAUAGAGAGUACACCGCCAACCAAAAAAAUCGAGGAAUGUGAGAAGAGAGUCAGAAUACAUGCGUGUAGACGCCCCUGUACACGAGACGGAGAUUGUCAAGCAAAUAACAUAUGCUGUUUAAGCUUCUGUGGGAGAAUUUGCAUAAACACUCUUGUCUGAGUGGGAGAGGGGGCUGGACUAUACAUACUGCUCCCCCAACCCUCCAUUUAACACUAAAGAACAAAGACCUCAAAUCUCAGGCACAUGACUGUCAAUAGCAAUGCCACCCUCCUCACUGUCUGUAUGGCUUGUUUCUGACAAAUAAACCAGAGCAAAUGCCCUAGGACCUGCCUAUUUUAUUCCUAGUGCUUGUGAUCAUUGAGAACCCAGUGCAGACCCCUGCAUGCCCCCAUCUCUCUUGGUCCUGGUCCCUGAUCCCUCUCCCCUUGUCAUGCUUCUCUACUCUCUCUCCCUUUGGCCCACGCACUCCUGCCAGGCCCCCGGAGGCCCAGCCCUCUCGUUGCUCUGCUCACUGAACCAGUACUCCCAGGGGGAGAAACUGCUCAUGGGUGGCAUCCCCCAGUGCUAAAGAGAACAUCC